GUUGGACAACAGGUGACUAAAUAUGUACACACCAAUGGUGGAUGAAGUCACAGUUGGACAACAGGUGACUAAAUAUGUACACACCAAUCGUGGAUGAAGUCACAGUUGGACAACAGGUGACUAAAUAUGUACACACCAAUGGUGGAUGAAGUCACAGUUGGACAACAGGUGACUAAAUAUGUACACACCAAUGGUGGAUGAAGUCACAGUUGGACAACAGGUGACUAAAUAUGUACACACCAAUGGUGGAUGAAGUCACAGUUGGACAACAGGUGACUAAAUAUGUACACACCAAUGGUGGAUGAAGUCACAGUUGGACAACAGGUGACUAAAUAUGUACA